rnacentral:rRNA from 1 species
CCUACGGGGAGGCAGCAGUGAGGAAUAUUGGACAAUGGGCGCAAGCCUGAUCCAGCCAUGCCGCGUGCAGGAAGACGGUCCUAUGGAUUGUAAACUGCUUUUGUACAGGAAGAAACACUCCCUCGUGAGGGAGCUUGACGGUACUGUAAGAAUAAGGAUCGGCUAACUCCGUGCCAGCAGCCGCGGUAAUACGGAGGAUCCAAGCGUUAUCCGGAAUCAUUGGGUUUAAAGGGUCCGUAGGCGGUUUAAUAAGUCAGUGGUGAAAUCUGGUCGCUCAACGAUCAAACGGCCAUUGAUACUGUUAGACUUGAAUUAUUAGGAAGUAACUAGAAUAUGUAGUGUAGCGGUGAAAUGCUUAGAUAUUACAUGGAAUACCAAUUGCGAAGGCAGGUUACUACUAAUGGAUUGACGCUGAUGGACGAAAGCGUGGGGAGCGAACAGGAUUAGAUACCCUGGUAGUCCACGCCGUAAACGAUAGGAUACUAGCUGUUCGGAGCAAUCUGAGUGGCUAAGCGAAAAGUGAUAAGUAUCCCACCUGGGGAGUACGUUCGCAAGAAUUGAAAACUUCAAAAUGAAUUGACGG